AGGGUUCGAUCAUGGCUCAGGAUGAACGCUGGCGGCGUGCCUAACACAUGCAAGUCGAACGAACCUUCGGGUUAGUGGCGGACGGGUGAGUAACGCGUGAGAAUCUGCCCUCAGGAGGGGGAUAACGGUUGGAAACGACCGCUAAUACCCCAUAUGCCUAUUGGUGAAAUGAAUUUCGCCUGAGGAUGAGCUCGCGUCUGAUUAGCUAGUUGGUGAGGUAAUGGCUCACCAAGGCUUCGAUCAGUAGCUGGUCUGAGAGGAUGAUCAGCCACACUGGGACUGAGACACGGCCCAGACUCCUACGGGAGGCAGCAGUGGGGAAUUUUCCGCAAUGGGCGAAAGCCUGACGGAGCAACGCCGCGUGAGGGACGAAGGCCUCUGGGCUGUAAACCUCUUUUCUCAAGGAAGAAGAUAUGACGGUACUUGAGGAAUAAGCCACGGCUAAUUCCGUGCCAGCAGCCGCGG
rnacentral:rRNA from 1 species